AUACUUAACAGCCCAGGGGAACUACCAUAGCCAAGAAGGUGGUAUUUCUCAGGACGAGGUUCGUCCAUUGCACUCUGGGUAUGUUGGUUGUUGAGAUUUCCACAAACAUGAUGUUACCAAGUCCAAGCUUGGUUUACUUGC
ensembl:snRNA U1 U1 spliceosomal RNA